UGGAAUUUAGAAAAAGGCAGAAUAAACCUGCAUGUACGAUUAUACAACUUUUAUAUAUUGUGCACAACCAUAAUAAAUGUUUUUGUUUAUUUUCUUGCACAUGCAGCUGUCAAUUUGACUAGUGAUUAUUGUUUGUUGCUAAAACAAUGACAAAGUAAAGUACAAAGUAAAGUACAUGAGGAAAUACUCUCACAUAAUUUUCAACACAUUUUUAUAGUAAUGGCAAUGAAUGGAGGGAUGAUCGUGGCUGUGGAAUGCAAUUUAUGAAUUACCGUUGCCUAGUAACAUCCUAAACAUCAAAGCGUGCCAUAAACUAACUUUCGAGCUAGAUUAGGCUUGUUUGUUAACCUCUAGGGUAGUUGCAGGAAAUAUGUGCAACGUAUUUCAAGACGCCACUACAAGACAACCAAGGACUUUAGCUGGGGGCCAGUUUGCCGGGAUCCAGAAAAAGACAUGGAGCUCUGGAGUGAUGGAUUGCUGUGUCGACAGAGAUGUCUGUCUCUGUGGGUUUUUCUGUCCAUGCAUUCAGGCCAUUAAGAUGGCAGAGAAAUACGGAGAGUGUUUCCUACUCUCUCAUGUUCCAUGGACACAUUUUAUGUUACGAACCAGCAUUCGGGAGAGGUAUAACAUAGAGGGAACCAUUUGCGAUGACUGGUGUGUGACUGCUUUCUGCGGACCAUGUGUUCAAUGCCAAAUGGUUCGUGAAGUCAAUAAGGAGAUUCCUAACUGACAGAGCCAGAAAGUUUAUGCUGACCCGCAAAGUGUUGUCUCCCGCACCUUGUUAUGAAAAUGUUCAUUAAAUUGUUGCAGUGAGGACCCUCAAGUUUUUGUACAACAAACUUCUUAUGGUUACCUUAGGACUGCUGUCAUCUGAAGACUAUGCCUGCAAGUCAACAAACUUUUUAUGUUCCUCUGACUAUACAGCACUAUGUGAGCACAACCCUUUAUCCAAAUCCUCAGCAGUAAGAAAAAACAAGACACAGUACCAUGUGACUGUCAGAUGUAUACAAUGUGCAAUAUAACUUACAGUAUUUUACUAUUUAUGAUAAGUCUGUUAUUACCAGAUGAUGGCUAAUUUAAAUGUAUUCAACUACCAGUUGUUUAUAUGAAAAUAAAUUUGAAAUAAGUACUACACAAGAA